rnacentral:rRNA from 1 species
AUGAUCGUUCUAAAUAUAAACGAUACAUACCCCUCAGAUAACGGCCAUAUUGGUCGAUAUUUCUGUCUAUGUCGUAUGGUAUGUAUGAAAAUGGUACAAAAUGAUAGAAAGAAUUUCUUAUUUAGCCCUUCCUUAAAGUUUGGUUUCCUUUUUGGCCCUAGUAAAAAAAUUCUUCUUGUUUUGACACUCAAACUUCAUUUUGUUCCCUUUAUGUCAUUUUCGUCAGUUUUGAUAACUGACACCGUUAAAUACAACAUGAAAGUCCAUUUUACCCCUGAUAUAUUUUGUGACCAAAAUUGUGAACCGGAAGUCAAAAGCAAUGGUGACAGUGGCGCGUGGACAGAAUGCAUGGGCCCAUUGGAGUAG